UUAACAUUCACCUUAACCACACUGCUAACUUUAUGCCUAACCCUAAAUUAAGACCAAAAAGCACAUUUUUGUGUUCAUAAAUGUUUGUGAUGUAUCCGACUUUGAGGCUGUGUUAUCUAAUGGAAACCAGCUACUCGACCGACGCUAGUAGCUAGCUACAAAGAAACUCUGUGGAAAGAUGUUGGAGUUUCACUGAUGUCCUCAGUCUGCCCUUAAGAGGAAGCUGGGGCCUAAGAGGAUAUAGAGCAGGGAGAGGAUCCGUCUGUGUGUGGCAGACUAUACGUGGUGGUUAGCAGCAUACUCCAGAGUUUGACUUGUGAAGAGGAGGGAGGCAGCAGCUGAAGUAGGAUUAGCCCAGUGUGGAGUGGCCAGCCAGCCAGCCAGCCAGCCAGCCAGCCAGCCAGCCCUGCCUGAGGUGGGAGAGGGCAGAGCAGCAGUGGGUCUGUCAGCUCCAGCGUGGUCGUAUUGGGGUAAGUCUGUUACUGCCCACCUCCCAUGUCUUCACCUGUCUCUGUCAGCUCCAGCGUGGUCGUAUUGGGGUAAGUCUGUUACUGCUCACCUCCCAUGUCUUCACCUGUCUCUGGAAUUCAGCCUGUGGACUGUUUGUUUUAACUCAACGACUCUUGUUCUCGUGUUAGUCUGAAACAGAAAAAUGAGGAGUAUGUCUGUUGACCCUCCCACCCCUCUGUUACACCAGACAGACACCAAACAGAGAGCAAAGCUA